rnacentral:lncRNA from 1 species
GUCUUAACUGCUGUUUGUAAAAUGGAAAAACAACCUGUCUAUGCAUUAAGAAGAAAAUACCUAAAUACCCACCUCCUCUCUGCUAAAAAUAAACUUAGAUCAAAAAUACUGCAGAAUAAGAAAUCUGAAUGGAUGAUUUUAGAAAUUGGACUGCCAGGGAGAAUUAAAAAAAACCUCAAACCACAAACCAAUGCCAGCAGUUCUUCUGAGACUAAAUCUUCUGAGAUUAAGGUGCUUUGUUUCUCAGGAGAUACUAGACACCAAAGAAUUUCAACUGUGAAAGUGUGGGUGCCCCCGCUACUUCUAUUUGAUUUUAUUACUAACAGAAGUGCCCAUGGGUGCUGACAAUAAUUGGAACUGAGUUUUUCCUAUUCCAUGAACAAGAUGAGGGGCUAUAUUCUCUCAUACGCUUUCCUUGGGUUUCUUUCCCACAACAGAACCUAAAAUAAAGCAACUAUUGUGGACA